rnacentral:rRNA from 1 species
UGGGGAAUAUUGCACAAUGGGCGCAAGCCUGAUGCAGCAACGCCGCGUGAACGAUGAAGGUCUUCGGAUCGUAAAGCUCUGUUGUUAAGGAAGAACGAGUGUGAGAAUGGAAAGUUCAUGCUGUGACGGUAUCUUACCAGAAAGCCACGGCUAACUACGUGCCAGCAGCCGCGGUAAUACGUAGGUGGCAAGCGUUGUCCGGAUUUAUUGGGCGUAAAGGGGGCGCAGGCUGCUUCUUAAGUCUGAUGUGAAAGCCCACGGCUUAACCGUGGAAGUGCAUUGGAAACUGGGAAGCUUGAGUACAGAAGAGGAAAGUGGAACUCCAUGUGUAGCGAUGGAAUGCGUGGAUAUAUGGAAGAACACCAGUGGCGAAAGCGACUUUCUGGUCUGUCACUGACGCUGAGGCCCGAAAGCUUGGGUAGCAAACAGG